ACGGGAGGCAGCAGUAGGGAAUAUUGCACAAUGGGGGGAACCCUGAUGCAGCAACGCCACGUGUGGGAAGACGCAUUUCGGUGUGUAAACCACUGUCGUGAGGGAAUAAGGCUACUUUCCGGAGUAGUUGAAUGUACCUUGAAAGGAAGCACCGGCAAACUUCGUGCCAGCAGCCGCGGUAAUACGAGGGGUGCGAGCGUUGUUCGGAAUCACUGGGCGUAAAGGGAGCGUAGGCGGAACUGCAAGCGGUCUGUUCAAUCACGGGGCCCAACCCCGUACCAGCAGACCGGACUGCCGUUCUUGGAUAGUUCAGGGGAAGGCGGAAUUCCUGGUGUAGCGGUGGAAUGCGUAGAGAUCAGGAAGAACACCGAUGGCGAAGGCAGCCUUCUGGGGACUCAUCGACGCUAAUGCUCGAAAGUGCGGGUAGCAAACAGGAUUAGAUACCCUGGUA
rnacentral:rRNA from 1 species